rnacentral:rRNA from 1 species
AUUGAACGCUGGCGGCAUGCCUUACACAUGCAAGUCGAACGGUAACGGGCCUUCGGGUGCCGACGAGUGGCGAACGGGUGAGUAAUGUAUCGGAACGUACCUUUCAGUGGGGGAUAACGUAGCGAAAGUUACGCUAAUACCGCAUAUUCUGUGCGCAGGAAAGCAGGGGACCUUCGGGCCUUGCGCUGAUUGAGCGGCCGAUCUCGGAUUAGCUAGUUGGUGAGGUAAAGGCUCACCAAGGCGACGAUCUGUAGCGGGUCUGAGAGGAUGCUCCGCCAAACUGGGACUGAGACACGGUCCAGACUCCUACGGGAGGCAGCAGUGGGGAAUUUUGGACAAUGGUGGCAACCCUGAUCCAGCCAUGCCGCGUGAGUGAAGAAGGCCGUCGGGUUGUAAAGCUCUGUCGGCCGGGAAGAAAUCGUAUCAGCUAAUACCUGGUGCGGAUGACGGUACCGGCAUAAGAAGCACCGGCUAACUACGUGCCAGCCGCCGCGGUAAAAC